ACUAUCUCCUCCCUCCUCAGCAUAUUCAUACAUAUCAUUAGAAAUGGGCUCUAAUGUGACACCUUCACUCUUUAUAGACAUGCUAUUAUUGUCAACAGAGGCCACAAUAUUAUCUUUGACACUGCAACCAGAAAUUGUUAGCUUCUCUUUCAUGAUGACAGAUUCCUUCACAUCCAACCUCCCAGAUCUAUCCUUUUCCUUCACAUCAUCAUAAACUUCUGCCAAGUCACUUGUAGACUGUGUCAUCGUUUUUGAAAUAGUAUUCGCAGAAGUAACAACUGGCAGGGUAGCAACUGUAUUAGUGACAUCAUUUUGCUCUUCAAAGUAUUUGUAUCCCACCA
rnacentral:misc_RNA from 1 species